rnacentral:rRNA from 1 species
UUAACACAUCCGUUUCAUUGCACCUUAUUACAAUCUGUUAUGUUUAGCAGUAGUGAGUGAUGGUGGCUAUGUGGUUAUAGUAGUAGUACAGUUAGUUUGUGGUUUUGCUUGCAUUACUGCUGCUAUACUACUACUACUACUAGUAUCACUACUACUAUUCCCGUCGCUGCUGUUAAACAUAUUGUACACAACAUACACCUAUGUUUAGUACUACUACUUACACAUUAAUAAGUCAAAUCUAUUACAACCAAAAUAGAAAAUUUUCAACGAUGGAUAUCUUGGUUCCCAUAUCGAUGAAGAACGCAGCGAAGUGCGAUAAGCAGUGCGAAUUGCAGAAUUCCGCGAAUCAUCAGAUCUUUGAACGCAAGUUGCGCCGAGCAGUUCGCUGUUCGGCAUGUUUGUUUCAGUGUCGUAACAAUAACAUACCUCAAUGUGAUUGAUGCUUGAAAGUGUAUAUUGCUGCACUAUCAUGCAUCUUUCAUGAAAUGAGAAUGUGUAUGUACUAACACACAAUGAAGUAGUCACAUCAUGUGUUUCGGCACGUAAGUGUGAUCUCAUUGUUAGUGAUAGUAUACAUAUACACAUACAUAGAGUGUUUAAUAAACACACACACACACUUAUCACAUGGCAUCUGAAAUCAAGCAAGAUGACCCGCUGAACUUAAGCA